rnacentral:rRNA from 1 species
GACGAACGCUGGCGGCGUGCCUAAUACAUGCAAGUAGAACGCAGUUGCGAACGGGUGAGUAACGCGUAGGUAACUGCCUCAUAGCGGGGGAUAACUAUUGGAAACGAUAGCUAAUACCGCAUACUGUGAGAUGGACCUGCGUUGUAUUAGCUAGGUGGUGAGGUAAAGGGUCCCCAAGGCGACGAUACAUAGCCGACCUGGGAGGGGGAUCGGCCACCCUGGGACUGAGACCCGGCCCAGACUCCUACGGGAGGCAGCCGUAGGGGAUCUUCGGCAAUGGACGGAAGUCUUACCGAGCAACGCCGCGUGAGUGAAGAAGGUUUUCGGAGCGUUAAGCUCUGUUGUUAGAGAAGCGUUACCUACCCAGAAAGGGACGGCUAACUACGUGCCAGCCGCCGCGGUAAUUC